rnacentral:rRNA from 1 species
AUUGAACGCUGGCGGCAUGCCUUACACAUGCAAGUCGAACGGCAGCACGGGAGCAAUCCUGGUGGCGAGUGGCGAACGGGUGAGUAAAGUAUCGGAACGUGCCCAGUCGUGGGGGAUAACGUAGCGAAAGUUACGCUAAUACCGCAUACGAUCUAUGGAUGAAAGCGGGGGAUCGCAAGACCUCGCGCGAUUGGAGCGGCCGAUAUCAGAUUAGGUAGUUGGUGGGGUAAAGGCUCACCAAGCCGACGAUCUGUAGCUGGUCUGAGAGGACGACCAGCCACACUGGGACUGAGACACGGCCCAGACUCCUACGGGAGGCAGCAGUGGGGAAUUUUGGACAAUGGGCGAAAGCCUGAUCCAGCCAUGCCGCGUGCAGGAUGAAGGCCUUCGGGUUGUAAACUGCUUUUGUACGGAACGAAAAGGUUUGGCCUAAUAAGCUGAGCUCAUGACGGUACCGUAAGAAUAAGCACCGGCUAACUACGUGCCAGCCGCCGCCGGUGACAC